rnacentral:misc_RNA from 1 species
GAAAUGCCGGGGAUCGACUACUCCAAGUGGGACAAGCUGACCGGCAGCGGCACCAGCAGCGGCAGCGAGUACGAAGGGGACAGGGCCGACAAGGCGCACGAUGACAGCAGCAGAUCCCCGCAGGUGACACGGCUGGAGUAUCCGUCUCGCGUGACACUGGGCCCGAAUGGGGUGCAGCUCGAGCAAGUGCCACCCAAAGCGUCAGCCAGCCCGUUUCCGGGGACGAAUGCACCUCCGAAGGAAACGCAUAACGGCAGUGUUGCUGUUGCAAGAUGCCCAAUCAAGGAAGAGUCUUCUCCCGCCGAGCACGGCACGGGGGCUCCAAAAGCCACCAGUAACUCUACCGGCAACACAGCUGGGAGACGGGAUGAGGACCAGGAACGCAUGGACACCACUGAUGAUGACGAGGAUUUGCUAUACGAGAGCCUUGCCCGCAACGGUGGCCGGGAGGGCUCACACCACUGGUGGACCCAAACCGAAGACACGGUAACUGUGAGCUUCUUGGUGCCUUGGGAGACGAAGAGCAAGUCUGUGACCGAGUUCCGUCUCUACGAGGCACGCUCGACGACGGCGCCAGAGUCAGAGCUGCAUCAAGCUCACUUGGAGAUAACGAUUCUGGUGCCGCCAGCGUGCCUGAUGUCGGCGAGCGGCGGCCCGUCUGCUUCAGCGGCGCCUCUCCGCAUACACCAAGUGUUCCGCUACCCUGUGAAGCUAUCCGAGGAUCUGAUUGACGGCUGUUGGCAGCUGCACUUCAUGCCUAGGCGUCACCUGCGCCUCUUGGUUGUGCAGCUCUUUAAAGAACCCGUCGGUCUUGGCAUGACGCUGUGGUGGGACCGCUGCUUUGUAACGGACACGACUUCCGUGAUUGCUGAUACGCAAGCCAUUCCAGACCGAAAGCGGCGGAUGGAAGCGACGCCAGGGUCAAAGGAGAAGGCGGAGCAGUUCCGCAAAGUAUGGGCCGAUGCACACGAGGAGUUUCGUCGGCGUAUGCAGGAGCGCAAGCGCGAAAUCAGCGAGUGAAUAUGGGAGGCAUCGAAGCAUUACGCACCCACGCAAGCGAAAGAACAAACCAAAGCGACUACUAGUGAAAAAAAAAAACAGCUCGUGAGCAGCGGGGGAGAAAAAGUAAAAGAAACCCCACGCGCGACGGCACACCCGACGCGUUCUGUCGCAGUACCUGGUGGAUGCGGAAGCCGUCCGCGGAGCUUGAACCGCGAAGCUAGCACGCAAGUGAUCACCUCAAUGGAAACGAGAAUCGGCACACCGCUCCGCGCAUGACGAUCAAGGAUGAGGGCACUUGCUGUGCACUGCGGAUGCACGUGUCUGGCUUGCCACUCGUACAUCCUUCUUUUUUUCACCCGCUGAUCCUCUUAUGUCGUCUCUUCUUGCCUUUUUCUUUGUUGUUGUGUGUCUGCGGCUCUCGUGUUGUCGGUGGUGCAUCAACAUGUACAG